rnacentral:rRNA from 1 species
UGCUUACCAUGCAGUCGAACGGCAGCACGGACUUCGGUCUGGUGGCGAGUGGCGAACGGGUGAGUAAUAUAUCGGAACAUACCCUAGAGUGGGGGAUAACGUAGCGAAAGUUACGCUAAUACCGCAUACGAACUAAGGUUGAAAGUGGGGGAUCGCAAGACCUCAUGCUCAUGGAGUGGCCGAUAUCUGAUUAGCUAGUUGGUGAGGUAAAGGCUCACCAAGGCGACGAUCAGUAGCUGGUCUGAGAGGACGACCAGCCACACUGGAACUGAGACACGGUCCAGACUCCUACGGGAGGCAGCAGUGGGGAAUUUUGGACAAUGGGGGCAACCCUGAUCCAGCAAUGCCGCGUGAGUGAAGAAGGCCUUCGGGUCGUAAAGCUCUUUUGUCAGGGAAGAAACGGUGAUCUCUAAUAUAGAUUGCUAAUGACGGUACCUGAAGAAUAAGCACCGGCUAACUACGUGCCAACAGCCGCGGUAAUACGUAGGGUGCAAGCGUUAAUCGGAAUUACUGGGCGUAAAGCGUGCGCAGGCGGUUAUAUAAGUCAGAUGUGAAAUCCCCGGGCUCAACCUGGGAACUGCAUUUGAGACUGUAUGGCUAGAGUGUGUCAGAGGGGGGUAGAAUUCCACGUGUAGCAGUGAAAUGCGUAGAUAUGUGGAGGAAUACCGAUGGCGAAGGCAGCCCCCUGGGAUAACACUGACGCUCAUGCACGAAAGCGUGGGGAGCAAACAGGAUUAGAUACCCUGGUAGUCCACGCCCUAAGCGAUGUCUACUAGUUGUUGGGUCUUAAUUGACUUAGUAACGCAGCUAACGCGUGAAGUAGACCGCCUGGGGAGUACGGUCGCAAGAUUAAAACUCAAAGGAAUUGACGGGGACCCGCACAAGCGGUGGAUGAUGUGGAUUAAUUCGAUGCAACGCGAAAACCUUACCUACCCUUG